AUUGAACGCUGGCGGCAGGCCUAACACAUGCAAGUCGAGCGAGCGGCGGACGGGUGAGUAAUGUCUGGGAAACUGCCUUCUGGAGGGGGAUAACUACUGGAAACGGUAACUAAUAACGCAUACCAUCAGAUUUGCCCAGAUGGGAUUAGCUGGUAGGUGGGGUAACGGCUCACCUAGGCGACGAUCCCUAGCUGGUCUGAGAGGAUGACCAGCCAGACUGGAACGUAGACAGGGUCCAGACCCCGCCGGGAGGCAGCAGUGGGGAAUAUUGCACAUUGGGCGCAAUCCGGAUGCAGCCAUGCCGCGUGUGUGAAGAAGGCCUUCGGGUUGUAAAGCACUUUCAGCGGGGAGGCGUUACCCGCAGAAGAAGGACCGGCUAACUCCGUGCCAGCAGCCGCGGUAAUUC
rnacentral:rRNA from 1 species